GAUUGGCCUGCGGGUCAUGCUACGAGAUCAGAUGUGAUUCUGACCCAGAAGCAUGCCUACCCGGAACCAUUACCGUCACGGCGACAAACUUCUGCCCUGCUAACCCUGCUCUGCCCAAUGAUAAUGGUGGGUGGUGCAAUCCUCCCCGCCAACACUUUGAUUUGGCAGAGCCUGCUUUCCUGCAAAUUGCCCAGUACCGCGCUGGAAUUGUUCCCGUCGCUUUCCAGAGGUAUAAAUAAUUUACCAAAAUGUAAAAAGGAGAAAACAAAAAAAAAAGGACGUAGUGGUAUCACGACGUAGUGGUAGUAGUGUUUUGGCUGAUAAAUGUUUCUGCGAUUCUUGAC
rnacentral:lncRNA from 1 species